rnacentral:sRNA from 1 species
UAUGAAAAACCCUGGCUAAAAUUGCGUGAACUUCCGCGAACGCGUAUACUUUUGGCGUUGACGUAAUACAGUGUGCUUGCGGUUACCAGCCGCAAAAAUGCUGAAAAAAACCUCGCUACGGCGGGGUUUUUU